GAGUUUGAUCGUGGCUCAGAACGAACGCUGGCGGCAUGCCUAACACAUGCAAGUCGAACGAGACCUUUGGGUCUAGUGGCGCACGGGUGCGUAACGCGUGGGAAUCUGCCCUUGGGUUCGGAAUAACAGUUAAAAAUGACUGCUAAUACCGGAUGAUGACUUCGGUCCAAAGAUUUAUCGCCCAAGGAUGAGCCCGCGUCGGAUUAGCUUGUUGGUGAGGUAAAAGCUCACCAAGGCGACGAUCCGUAGCUGGUCUGAGAGGAUGAUCAGCCACACUGGGACUGAGACACGGCCCAGACUCCUACGGGAGGCAGCAGUGGGGAAUAUUGGACAAUGGGCGAAAGCCUGAUCCAGCAAUGCCGCGCGAGUGAUGAAGGCCUUAGGGUUGUAAAGCUCUUUUACCCGGGAUGAUAAUGACAGUACCGGGAGAAUAAGCCCCGGCUAACUCCGUGCCAGCCGCCGCUGUAAC
rnacentral:rRNA from 1 species